rnacentral:rRNA from 1 species
GACGAACGCUGGCGGCGUGCUUAACACAUGCAAGUCGAACGGAAAGGCCCCUUUGGGGGUACUCGAGUGGCGAACGGGUGAGUAACACGUGAGUAACCUGCCCUUGACUUCGGGAUAACUUCAGGAAACUGGGGCUAAUACCGGAUAGGAAUCCUUGCUUCAUGGUGGGGGUUGGAAAGCUUCGGCGGUUUUGGAUGGACUCGCGGCUUAUCAGCUUGUUGGUGGGGUAGUGGAUUACCAAGGCUUUGACGGGUAGCCGGCCUGCGAGGGCGACCGGCCACAUUGGGACUGAGAGACGGCCCAGACUCCUACGGGAGGGAGCAGUGGGGAAGAUUGCACAAUGGGCGGAAGCCUGAUGCAGCAACGCCGCGGGCGGGAUGACGGCCUUCGGGUUGUAAACCGCUUUCAGCAGGGGCGAAGCUUGUGGUGACGGUACCUGCAGAAGAAGCACCGGCUAACUACGUG